rnacentral:rRNA from 1 species
AAAACUUUCAAGAACGGAUCUCUUGGUUCUGGCAUCGAUGAAGAACGCAGCGAAAUGCGAUAAGUAAUGUGAAUUGCAGAAUUCAGUGAAUCAUCGAAUCUUUGAACGCACAUUGCGCCCGCCAGUAUUCUGGCGGGCAUGCCUGUUCGAGCGUCAUUU